UGAUCUAUUGGGGAUCUGACAUUCAGGGC
rnacentral:piRNA from 1 species